rnacentral:rRNA from 1 species
GAAUUGUGAUCUUAUACAACUAUUAUUUAUUUUUAAAGUAAUUUUUGUAAGCAUUGGGGGGUCGUGAAGAUUCUAUCAGUGAGUAUUUGUUCUCGAAAGGGCUAUGAUUAAUAUUGAAUAAUCAGACAUAGUACGCUAAGGUUGUAUGUCUAAAGGGAAACAGCCCAGAGCAAGUGUAAAUAAGGUUCCAAAAUUAUUAUUAAGUGAAAUAAAGGUAGUUUAUGUCUUAAACGGCCAGGAAAUGGGCUUAGAAGCGGCCAUUUUUUAAAGACCUCGUAACAGAGCACUGGCUUUGUCCUAUAAUUUAGGAUAAAUUAGAUUUAAAUUUCUUAGAUCUAAUUUACAUGGAUAUGAGCACCGACGAUACAACGGAUCUAAAUAAUAUACCGAUACCUUGUCCAUAAAAAUAUAUACUUAUUAUCUGUAUUAGAUAAGUUAUUUGAAAAAGCAAACAGACAUGCAGUAAUGAAAGAGAAUUAAAUCGAAAAAUUUUUUUUUUAGUUUAUUUUUUUUUAAAUAAAAAAAAAUUAAUAUAAUAACAUGUAUAUCGUUUUAUGGGGUAGCGGAACAUUGGGUAUGCCACAUACUUUUWUUAUAUAAAUAAAAUAAGGUAUCCCAAGAGAGAAUGCUGACAUGAGUAACGAUAAAGGGAAAAAUCCCUCGCCUAAAGCUUAUGGUAUUUAGUUAAAGUAACGGCCUCUAAGUUUAUGUUUUAGUAUAACCUAAGGGAUUAAACGAUGAGCAAAUCU